AGUUUUUUCUCUUCAAAGAUACUUUUACAGAUUAUGAAGGCAAAAUUAUAUCGUUGAGCUAAAUUUAAUGACAGAAUUAUAAGACAAGAAUAUUCUCCUAGGGUUUCGUAAAGUUUUCGCGAAAUCGAACAAAUAUACUACAAUCGUCGAACAAUAUGGAAGUACCUCGUAUUAUGGAACUAUUAUGGAAUAAACAGUGAAUUUUCUCGUCAAAAACGGUGUUCCCAGUGUCCUCAAAUAAGUACGAGUGCAUCUAUUAAUAGUCCAAAGCAACAGAUGUCUAGAAAUGAGCCUACAGUGCGAAUGAAAUGGAUUUAAAGUCGAAACUGAUGCGAAGCAAGCUGAAAACUCUAUUGAAAUGUUUCCUGGUGCUUGAUAUACAUGACUGUCAUUGAAGAAAAACAGAAGUUGAAAUUUUGCUGUGGAAACUUUUAAAACAAACAACCUAGUUGCCGGCCGGGUGGUACUUCAAGUCGGACGGAGAAAAAUUUCCAGUGCUGCCUUACUUAGUUCUUCCGGAAGUUUCGUCAAUUUCCUA